AGAGUGGACAGUUUUCCCGAAGGGAACCAUGGUCUCUGGCUGGCCCUGGAGACCUGGGCUUGGCCAAGGCUGGUGCCUGCCGCGCUCACUCUGGGCACCACGGGAGCUGUCUGAAGGACCCUGUCUGGCCACCCCAGAAAAUGGGCACAUCCGCCCACUACCCAUCUUCAAGUUUCCCAAAGAAGUGACAAAGGUCAUAAAGAGGUGGCGACGUGCUCAAGGCCACAGAGGGAGCAGAAGUACCAGUCUGGGCCCUGAGGCUGAAUUCCACAGCUCAUGCCUCCAGCAGUGGACUCGGAUCCCAAGAGGCUGAGACUCGGUCUGGAAGCCAGACCCACAGGUGCAAUCCUGCCCACAGAGCUUGACCCACAGUAUUAAAAAAAAAAAAUGUC